rnacentral:misc_RNA from 1 species
UCCGGUUUGGCACCGGCAGUCUCCCUAGAGUUCCCGGCAUUACCCGCUGGCAACAUGGAACGAGGGUUGCGCUCGUUGCGGGACUUAACCCAACACCUCACGACACGAGCUGACGACAGCCAUGCACCACCUGUGCACCCCCCCGAAGGACACCAUAUCUCUACGGCUUUUGAGUGCAUGUCAAACCCAGGUAAGGUUCUUCGCGUUGCAUCGAAUUAAUCCGCAUGCUCCGCCGCUUGUGCGGGCCCCCGUCAAUUCCUUUGAGUUUUAACCUUGCGGCCGUACUCCCCAGGCGGAGAGCUUAAUGCGUUAGCUGCGUCACCGACACGCAUGCGUGCCGACAACUAGCUCUCAUCGUUUACAGCGUGGACUAC